rnacentral:rRNA from 1 species
GGGUUGUGAGGUUAAGCGACUAAGCGUACACGGUGGAUGCCCUGGCAGUCAGAGGCGAUGAAGGACGUGCUAAUCUGCGAUAAGCGUCGGUAAGGUGAUAUGAACCGUUAUAACCGGCGAUUUCCGAAUGGGGAAACCCAGUGUGAUUCGUCACACUAUCAUUAACUGAAUCCAUAGGUUAAUGAGGCGAACCGGGGGAACUGAAACAUCUAAGUACCCCGAGGAAAAGAAAUCAACCGAGAUUCCCCCAGUAGCGGCGAGCGAACGGGGAGCAGCCCAGAGCCUGAAUCAGUGUGUGUGUUAGUGGAAGCGUCUGGAAAGGCGCGCGAUACAGGGUGACAGCCCCGUACACAAAAAUGCACAUGCUGUGAGCUCGAUGAGUAGGGCGGGACACGUGGUAUCCUGUCUGAAUAUGGGGGGACCAUCCUCCAAGGCUAAAUACUCCUGACUGACCGAUAGUGAACCAGUACCGUGAGGGAAAGGCGAAAAGAACCCCGGCGAGGGGAGUGAAAAAGAACCUGAAACCGUGUACGUACAAGCAGUGGGAGCCUCUUUAUGGGGUGACUGCGUACCUUUUGUAUAAUGGGUCAGCGACUUAUAUUCUGUAGCAAGGUUAACCGAAUAGGGGAGCCGAAGGGAAACCGAGUCUUAACUGGGCGUUAAGUUGCAGGGUAUAGACCCGAAACCCGGUGAUCUAGCCAUGGGCAGGUUGAAGGUUGGGUAACACUAACUGGAGGACCGAACCGACUAAUGUUGAAAAAUUAGCGGAUGACUUGUGGCUGGGGGUGAAAGGCCAAUCAAACCGGGAGAUAGCUGGUUCUCCCCGAAAGCUAUUUAGGUAGCGCCUCGUGAAUUCAUCUCCGGGGGUAGAGCACUGUUUCGGCAAGGGGGUCAUCCCGACUUACCAACCCGAUGCAAACUGCGAAUACCGGAGAAUGUUAUCACGGGAGACACACGGCGGGUGCUAACGUCCGUCGUGAAGAGGGAAACAACCCAGACCGCCAGCUAAGGUCCCAAAGUCAUGGUUAAGUGGGAAACGAUGUGGGAAGGCCCAGACAGCCAGGAUGUUGGCUUAGAAGCAGCCAUCAUUUAAAGAAAGCGUAAUAGCUCACUGGUCGAGUCGGCCUGCGCGGAAGAUGUAACGGGGCUAAACCAUGCACCGAAGCUGCGGCAGCGACACUAAGUGUUGUUGGGUAGGGGAGCGUUCUGUAAGCCUGUGAAGGUGUACUGUGAGGUAUGCUGGAGGUAUCAGAAGUGCGAAUGCUGACAUAAGUAACGAUAAAGCGGGUGAAAAGCCCGCUCGCCGGAAGACCAAGGGUUCCUGUCCAACGUUAAUCGGGGCAGGGUGAGUCGACCCCUAAGGCGAGGCCGAAAGGCGUAGUCGAUGGGAAACAGGUUAAUAUUCCUGUACUUGGUGUUACUGCGAAGGGGGGACGGAGAAGGCUAUGUUGGCCGGGCGACGGUUGUCCCGGUUUAAGCGUGUAGGCUGGUUUUCCAGGCAAAUCCGGAAAAUCAAGGCUGAGGCGUGAUGACGAGGCACUACGGUGCUGAAGCAACAAAUGCCCUGCUUCCAGGAAAAGCCUCUAAGCAUCAGGUAACAUCAAAUCGUACCCCAAACCGACACAGGUGGUCAGGUAGAGAAUACCAAGGCGCUUGAGAGAACUCGGGUGAAGGAACUAGGCAAAAUGGUGCCGUAACUUCGGGAGAAGGCACGCUGAUAUGUAGGUGAAGCGACUUGCUCGUGGAGCUGAAAUCAGUCGAAGAUACCAGCUGGCUGCAACUGUUUAUUAAAAACACAGCACUGUGCAAACACGAAAGUGGACGUAUACGGUGUGACGCCUGCCCGGUGCCGGAAGGUUAAUUGAUGGGGUUAGCGCAAGCGAAGCUCUUGAUCGAAGCCCCGGUAAACGGCGGCCGUAACUAUAACGGUCCUAAGGUAGCGAAAUUCCUUGUCGGGUAAGUUCCGACCUGCACGAAUGGCGUAAUGAUGGCCAGGCUGUCUCCACCCGAGACUCAGUGAAAUUGAACUCGCUGUGAAGAUGCAGUGUACCCGCGGCAAGACGGAAAGACCCCGUGAACCUUUACUAUAGCUUGACACUGAACAUUGAGCCUUGAUGUGUAGGAUAGGUGGGAGGCUUUGAAGUGUGGACGCCAGUCUGCAUGGAGCCGACCUUGAAAUACCACCCUUUAAUGUUUGAUGUUCUAACGUUGGCCCCUGAUCGGGGUUGUGGACAGUGUCUGGUGGGUAGUUUGACUGGGGCGGUCUCCUCCUAAAGAGUAACGGAGGAGCACGAAGGUUGGCUAAUCCUGGUCGGACAUCAGGAGGUUAGUGCAAUGGCAUAAGCCAGCUUGACUGCGAGCGUGACGGCGCGAGCAGGUGCGAAAGCAGGUCAUAGUGAUCCGGUGGUUCUGAAUGGAAGGGCCAUCGCUCAACGGAUAAAAGGUACUCCGGGGAUAACAGGCUGAUACCGCCCAAGAGUUCAUAUCGACGGCGGUGUUUGGCACCUCGAUGUCGGCUCAUCACAUCCUGGGGCUGAAGUAGGUCCCAAGGGUAUGGCUGUUCGCCAUUUAAAGUGGUACGCGAGCUGGGUUUAGAACGUCGUGAGACAGUUCGGUCCCUAUCUGCCGUGGGCGCUGGAGAACUGAGGGGGGCUGCUCCUAGUACGAGAGGACCGGAGUGGACGCAUCACUGGUGUUCGGGUUGUCAUGCCAAUGGCACUGCCCGGUAGCUAAAUGCGGAAGAGAUAAGUGCUGAAAGCAUCUAAGCACGAAACUUGCCCCGAGAUGAGUUCUCCCUGACUCCUUGAGAGUCCUGAAGGAACGUUGAAGACGACGACGUUGAUAGGCCGGGUGUGUAAGCGCAGCGAUGCGUUGAGCUAACCGGUACUAAUGAACCGUGAGGCUUAACCUUACAACGCCGAAG